rnacentral:rRNA from 1 species
GAUGAACGCUGGCGGCGUGCCUAAUACAUGCGAGUCGAGAGAACGGACGAGAAGCUUGCUUUUCUGAUGUUAGCGGCGGACGGGUGAGUAACACGUGGAUAACCUACCUAUAAGACUGGGAUAACUUCGGGAAACCGGAGCUAAUACCGGAUAAUAUUUUGAACCGCAUGGUUCAAAAGUGAAAGACGGUCUUGCUGUCACUUAUAGAUGGAUCCGCGCUGCAUUAGCUAGUUGGUAAGGUAACGGCUUACCAAGGCAACGAUGCAUAGCCGACCUGAGAGGGUGAUCGGCCACACUGGAACUGAGACACGGUCCAGACUCCUACGGGAGGCAGCAGUAGGGAAUCUUCCGCAAUGGGCGAAAGCCUGACGGAGCAACGCCGCGUGAGUGAUGAAGGUCUUCGGAUCGUAAAACUCUGUUAUUAGGGAAGAACAUAUGUGUAAGUAACUGUGCACAUCUUGACGGUACCUAAUCAGAAAGCCACGGCUAACUACGUG